rfam:Bombyx mori DNA, contig: Bm_scaf6_contig5163, strain: p50T/Dazao, build 2, whole genome shotgun sequence.
UUAACUCAAAUUUGUAUGGAGUUGGAACGUUUUUCCACGUUUGCCGCUAGGGGCGCUGUUCCAACUCCAUACAAAUAUGAGUUA